rnacentral:rRNA from 1 species
AUUGAACGCUGGCGGCAGGCUUAACACAUGCAAGUCGAGCGAGCGGCGGACGGGUGAGUAAUGUCUGGGAAACUGCCUGAUGGAGGGGGAUAACUACUGGAAACGGUAGCUAAUACCGCAUACCAUCAGAUGUGCCCAGAUGGGAUGAGCUAGGAGGUGGGGUAAUGGCUCACCUGGGCGACGAUCCCUAGCUGGUCUGAGAGGAUGACCAGCCACACUGGAACGGAGAAACGGACCAGACUCCUACGGGAGGCAGCAGUGGGGAAUAUUGCACAAUGGGCGGAGGCCUGAUGCAGCCAGGCCGCGUGUGUGAAGAAGGACUUCGGGUUGUAAAGCACUUGCAGCGGGGAGGCGUUACUCGCAGAAGAAGCACCGGCUAACUCCGUGCCAGCAGCCGCGGUAAUUC